rnacentral:rRNA from 1 species
AUACGGAGGGUGCAAGCGUUACUCGGGAUCACUGGGCGUAAAGCGCGCGCAGGCGGGCUGAUAAGUUGGAUGUGAAAGCCUACGGCUCAACCGUAGAACUGCAUCCAAAACUGUCAGUCUAGAGUGUGCGAGAGGAAGAUGGAAUUAGUUGUGUAGGGGUAAAAUCCGUAGAGAUAACUAGGAAUACCAAAAGCGAAGGCAAUCUUCUGGAACACUACUGACGCUGAGGCGCGAAGGCGUGGGGAGCAAACAGCAUUAGAAACCCGAGUAGUCC